UACGUAGGUGACCAGCGUUGUCCGGAUUUACUGGGCGUAAAGAGCGCGCAGGCGGUCGUUCAAGUCGAGUGUGAAAGCCCCCGGCUCAACUGGGGAGGGUCACUUGAUACUGAUCGACUCGAAGGCAGGAGAGGGAAGCGGAAUUCCCGGUGUAGUGGUGAAAUGCGUAGAUAUCGGGAGGAACACCAGUGGCGAAGGCGGCUUCCUGGCCUGUUCUUGACGGCUGAGGCGCGAAAGCUAGGGGAGCAAACGG
rnacentral:rRNA from 1 species